rnacentral:rRNA from 1 species
AGAGUUUGAUCCUGGCUCAGGAUGAACGCUGGCGGCGUGCCUAACACAUGCAAGUCGAGCGAUCUUCUUCGGAAGAGAGCGGCGGACGGGUGAGUAACGCGUGGGUAACCUACCUCAUACACAUGGAUAACAUACCGAAAGGUAUGCUAAUACAAGAUGAUAUAAGAGAUUCGCAUGGAUUUCUUAUCAAAGCUCCGGCGGUAUGAGAUGGACCCGCGUCUGAUUAGCUAGUUGGUAAGGUAACGGCUUACCAAGGCGACGAUCAGUAGCCGACCUGAGAGGGUGAUCGGCCACAUUGGGACUGAGACACGGUCCAAACUCCUACGGGAGGCAGCAGUGGGGAAUAUUGCACAAUGGGCGAAAGCCUGAUGCAGCAACGCCGCGUGAGCGAUGAAGGCCUUCGGGUCGUAAAGCUCUGUCCUCAAGGAAGAUAAUGACGGUACUUGAGGAGGAAGCCCCGGCUAACUACGUGCCAGCAGCCGCGGUAAUACGUAGGGGGCUAGCGUUAUCCGGAUUUACUGGGCGUAAAGGGUGCGUAGGUGGUUUCUUAAGUCAGGAGUGAAAGGCUACGGCUCAACCGUAGUAAGCUCUUGAAACUGGGAAACUUGAGUGCAGGAGAGGAAAGUGGAAUUCCUAGUGUAGCGGUGAAAUGCGUAGAUAUUAGGAGGAACACCAGUAGCGAAGGCGGCUUUCUGGACUGUAACUGACACUGAGGCACGAAAGCGUGGGGAGCAAACAGGAUUAGAUACCCUGGUAGUCCACGCCGUAAACGAUGAGUACUAGGUGUCGGGGGUUACCCCCUUCGGUGCCGUAGCUAACGCAUUAAGUACUCCGCCUGGGGAGUACGCUCGCAAGAGUGAAACUCAAAUGAAUUGACGG